rnacentral:rRNA from 1 species
AUUGAACGCUGGCGGCAGGCUUAACACAUGCAAGUCGAGCGGGGUGAUGGCGCUUGCACUAUCACUUAGCGGCGGACGGGUGAGUAAUGCUUAGGAAUCUGCCUAUUAGUGGGGGACAACAUCUCGAAAGGGAUGCUAAUACCGCAUACGUCCUACGGGAGAAAGCAGGGGAUCACUUGUGACCUUGCGCUAAUAGAUGAGCCUAAGUCGGAUUAGCUAGUUGGUGGGGUAAAGGCCUACCAAGGCGACGAUCUGUAGCGGGUCUGGGCGGAUGAUCCGCCACACUGGGACUGAGAAACGGCCCAGACUCCUACGGGAGGCAGCAGUGGGGAAUAUUGGGCAAUGGGGGGAACCCUGAUCCAGCCAUGCCGCGUGUGUGAAGAAGGCCUUAUGGUUGUAAAGCACUUUAAGCGAGGAGGAGGCUCUUUUGGUUAAUACCCAAGAUGAGUGGACGUUACUCGCAGAAUAAGCACCGGCUAACUCUGUGCCAGCCGCCGCAGUAA